rnacentral:tmRNA from 1 species
GGGGGUGACAUGGUUUCGACUGUGAGGGUUGAAGUGUCCGGAAGCGAGCCGAGGUACACCGGAGUCCUCGUUAAAAGCCGGUAAACAAAUACGUGCCGAUGAAAACAUGGCACUGGCCGCCUAACUAAGCGGUCUAUCCGCCCGGAGGGUUCCCGUCUCGCCGGUCCCGGGUAACGCAAUACGGGAUGCUGCUCUCAGGGGUCGGGACUGAGGGCUCAAGACUCAUUCCGACUAGGAACGAGGGAAUACUUUGCCGACGGCGGUCCCAUGUUUCCGAAAUGCUCGCUGUUGGCUGCGCUCGGAGAUGCCGGCGCUGAAACCUCAUAGGACGGGGGUUCGACUCCCCCCACCUCCAC